rnacentral:rRNA from 1 species
GUGCCAGCCGCCGCGGUGAUACCGGCAGUUCGAGUGAUGGCCGAUUUUAUUGGGCCUAAAGCGUCCGUAGCCUGCUGUGUAAGUCCAUUGGGAAAUCGACGCGCUCAACGCGUCGGCGUCCGGUGGAAACUACACGGCUUGGGGCCGAGAGAUUUGACGGGUACGUCCGGGGUAGGAGUGAAAUCCUGUAAUCCUGGACGGACCACCGAUGGGGAAACCACGUUAAGAGACCGGACCCGACGGUGAGGUACGAAAGCCAGGGUCUCGAACCGGAUUAGAAACCCUGGUAGUCC